AUUGAACGCUGGCGGCAGGCCUAACACAUGCAAGUCGAACGAGUGGCGGACGGGUGAGUAAUGUCUGGGAAACUGCCUGAAGGAGGGGGAUAACUACUGGAAACGGUAGCUAAUACCGCAUACCCUCAGAUGUGCCCAGAUGGGAUUAGCUUGUUGGUGGGGUAACGGCUCACCAAGGCGACGAUCCCUAGCUGGUCUGCGAGGAUGACCGACCAUACUGGAACUGAGACACGGUCUAGACGCCUACGGGAGGCAGGAGUGGGGAAUAUUGCACAAUUGGCGCAAGCCUGAUGGAGCGAUGCGGCGUGUAUGAAGAAGGCCUUCGGGUUGUAAAGUACUUUCAGCGGGGAGGCGUUACCCGCAGAAGAAGCACCGGCUAACUCCGUGCCAGCAGCCGCGGUAAUUC
rnacentral:rRNA from 1 species